UACGGGGGGGUAAGCGUUGUUCGGAAUUACUGGGCGUAAAGGGCUCGUAGGCGGCCAACUAAGUCAUACGUGAAAUCCCUCAGCUUAACUGGGGAACUGCGUGUGAUACUGGAUGGCUUGGAUUUGGGAGAGGGAUGCGGAAUUCCAGGUGUAGCGGUGAAAUGCGUAGAUAUCUGGAGGAACACCGGUGGCGAAGGCGGCAUCCUGGACCAAUAUUGACGCUGAGG
rnacentral:rRNA from 1 species